AACCCACCUCUGAAUCUGGAAUAACUUCGCGAAAGCGUUGCUAAUACCGGAUAUUGUCCCUGGGACUGUGGUUCUUGGGAUGAAAGGUGACCUCUUCCUGAAAGUUGCCGUUUAGAGACGGGCCCGCGUACCAUUAGCUAGUUGGUAGGGUAAUGGCCUACCAAGGCUGGGAUGGUUAGCUGGUCUGAGAGGAUGACCAGCCACACUGGCACUGAAACACGGGCCAGACUCCUACGGGAGGCAGCAGUGAGGAAUUUUGCGCAAUGGGGGCAACCCUGACGCAGCAACGCCGCGUGAGCGAAGAAGGCCUUCGGGUCGUAAAGCUCUGUCUAGUGGGAAAAAAGUCUUCCGGUAAAUAGCCGGAAGAUCUGAUGGUACCGCUGGAGGAAGCACCGGCUAACUCCGUGCCAGCAGCCGCGGUAA
rnacentral:rRNA from 1 species